GAACUUAGGUUAACUUAGACCAAGAGCCUUCAAAGCCCUAAGCAGAAGUUAAAAUCUUCUAGUUUU
rnacentral:tRNA from 1 species